CACACGACUCUCGGCAACGGAUAUCUCGGCUCUCGCAUCGAUGAAGCACGUAGCGAAAUGCGAUACCUGGUGUGAAUUGCAGAAUCCCGCGAACCAUCGAGUCUUUGAACGCAAGUUGCGCCCGAGGCCACUCGGUCGAGGGCACGCCUGCCUGGGCGUCACGC
rnacentral:rRNA from 1 species